AGCUGAACAUCCAUCUGUAGUCAUGCCCGCCAAUCCCAUUCCUAGGAAAUAAUCCAAGAGAAAUGAAAACGUAGACUCACAUAAAAACCUGUACACGGAUGUUUAUAACAGCGUUAUUCAUAAUGAAUUGCCCCCAACUGGAAGCAACCCCAGUGCACUUUGAUGGCUGAAUAGAAAAGAGAAAUGGGAAGUGUUCGUAUCCAGGGAUGCUACUUGGAAAUGAAAAGGAACUAUCAAUUCACACGACACUAUGGAUGAAUCUCAAAUGCAUUUGACAAAGGUCGGUCUCAACAGACUUCCUACACGUAGACCUUGUCAAUAUUAUAUAAAUACAGAAUACCCAGCCUCAGGUAUUUUAUUAUAGCAACGGAAAAUGGACUAAUACAGAUUUUCUGUUACUUUCUUUGGGCCUCUUUGUUUCCAUUUCCCAUUCAUCGAUAGCUCUGAAUUCAGAGAGAGAGAGAGAGAGCAAACAGUCCCUCCAGGUCAACAUCUGCUCCCCCUUCCCUGGCCCCUUUGAACCCCCCCACCCCAUUGCUCUGCCUUUCCCAUGUGUUCCCCAUACAUUACUUUAGGCCCCUCCUUUCCAGAUGCCCAGACAGCCUUGGCCAGCUCUUGGUUGCCCACAUUUCACACCUUCUUUGGGAGAAUGGAGAAGAAAUAUGUGCUGAAAUACCCCUUUGUGGCUGAUGUCUGUCCUCUGUUCAAUGCCACCUCUGCAUGUGUGUGUGUGUGUGUGUGAGAGAGAGAGAGACAGACAGACAGACAGACAGACACCAGACUUCCUCCAAGAGGCCCAACUUGUGCACAAGAGGUACAAGGACAUAGGAAGCUUCCAGCUCUUGGUUUUCUCUGGUGAUGCUGACCCUCUCUUCAUCAUUGAUCGUUCUCUCUCCCCCAGCAAAAGUGACAUCUUCGACACGGUACCUUCCACAGGGUAGCCCAGGCUGAUGAGUCAAUGGCAGAACAGGAGUUCAAGGAUUGGCCUGGGGAGUCCUAGGGAAGAAGAGGCUUGUCUGAGGCUUAGCACAGUCUUCCAUAACUAAGUGCUGAGGACCUGGUGACUUAAACAUCGGAGAUUGGUUCUCUUGAAGUUCUGGGGUCUGAACGUCCAAGGUCAAGAUGCCAACUGGGCUGGUUCCUUCUGAGGGCUGUGAGAGAAGGAUAUCUGCCCCAGGCUUCUCUCUGUGGCUCGUAGAUGGCCAUCUUCUUCCUUCCUCUGGAUCUGUAUCCCAACACCCUCUUUUAAAAAAAAUAUUUAUUCAUUUAGUUUUAGGUGGACACAAUAUCUUCAUUUUAUUUUUAUGCGGUGCUGAGGAUCGAACCCAGUGCCUCACACGUGCCAGGCGAAUGCUCUACCUCUGAGCCACAACCACAGACCCCCAACACCCUCUGUUUUGAGGACACCAGUCAUGUUUGAUGAGGGCCCAUUCUCAUGGUCUUGAUUAUCUUUCUAAAGACCCUGGGCCGGUCAGCUUUCCAUCCCUGUGACCAAACUAUACAACAAGAGCAAUUUAAAGGAGGAAAGAUUUAU
rnacentral:lncRNA from 1 species